rnacentral:rRNA from 1 species
AGUCAUAUGCUUGUCUCAAAGAUUAAGCCAUGCAUGUGUCAGUACAAACCAAUAUAAGGUGAAACCGCGAAUGGCUCAUUAAAUCAGCUAUGUUUCAUUGGAUCUGUACCCCCCAUUUACUUGGACAACUGUGGUAAUCCUAGAGCUAAUACAUGCACACAUAGUCCCUGACCGUGAGGGAAGGGCGCUUUUAUUAGUUCAAAACCGGUCGGGCCUCGGUCCGUAAACCCACCUGUGAUGACUCUGAAUAACUUUUUGCUGAGCGCACGGUCUCCGUACUGGCGCCGCAUCUUUCAAGUGUCUGCCUUAUCAGCUUUCGAUUGUAGUUUAUGCGCCUACAAUGGCUAUAACGGGUAACGGGGAAUCAGGGUUCGAUUCCGGAGAGGGAGCCUGAGAAACGGCUACCACAUCUAAGGAAGGCAGCAGGCACGCAAAUUACCCACUCCCGGCACGGGGAGGUAGUGACGAAAAAUAACGAUGCGAGACUCAUCCGAGGCCUCGCAAUCGGAAUGAGUACACUUUAAAUCCUUUAACGAGGACCCAUUGGAGGGCAAGUCUGGUGCCAGCAGCCGCGGUAAUUCCAGCUCCAAUAGCGUAUAUUAAAGUUGUUGCGGUUAAAAAGCUCGUAGUUGGAGAUAAGUUCUGGACUGACGGUUCACCGCCCGGUGCUUACUGUCACGCUCCGNAACCGCUCAUUAAUUUGAGCCCUGCCGGCUUGCACGGGAUGCUCUUCACCGAGUGUCCCGAGUGGCCGGCAUGUUUACUUUGAAAAAAUUAGAGUGCUUAAAGCAGGCUACUUGUAUGGCCUGAAUGUCUAUGCAUGGAAUAAUGGAAUAGGACCUCGGUUCUAUUUUGUCGGUUUUCCUUAUCGGAACCCGAGGUAAUGACUAAUCGAGACAGGCGGGGGCAUUCGUACUGCGACGCUAGAGGUGAAAUUCUUGGACCGUCGCAAGACGAACUACUGCGAAAGCAUUUGCCAAGGAUGUUUUCCUUAAUCAAGAACGAAAGUUAGAGGUUCGAAGGCGAUCAGAUACCGCCCUAGUUCUAACCAUAAACGAUGCUAACUAGCGAUCCGCCGGCGUUAUUCCCAUGACCCGGCGGGCAGCUUCCGGGAAACCAAAGUCUUUGAGUUCCGGGGGAAGUAUGGUUGCAAAGCUGAAACUUAAAGGAAUUGACGGAAGGGCACCACCAGGAGUGGAGCCUGCGGCUUAAUUUGACUCAACACGGGGAACCUCACCAGGCCCGGACACCGGAAGGAUUGACAGAUUGAGAGCUCUUUCUCGAUUCGGUGGGUGGUGGUGCAUGGCCGUUCUUAGUUGGU